CCUACGGGCGGCAGCAGUGGGGAAUAUUGGACAAUGGGCGAAAGCCUGAUCCAGCCAUGCCGCGUGUGUGAAGAAGGCCUUCGGGUUGUAAAGCACUUUCAGUGGGGAAGAAAGCCUUGGGGCUAAUACCCUCGAGGAAGGACAUCACCCACAGAAGAAGCACCGGCUAACUCCGUGCCAGCAGCCGCGGUAAUACGGAGGGUGCGAGCGUUAAUCGGAAUUACUGGGCGUAAAGCGCGCGUAGGCGGUCUGAUAAGCCGGUUGUGAAAGCCCCGGGCUCAACCUGGGAACGGCAUCCGGAACUGUCAGGCUAGAGUGCAGGAGAGGAAGGUAGAAUUCCCGGAGUAGCGGUGAAAUGCGUAGAGAUCGGGAGGAAUACCAGUGGCGAAGGCGGCCUUCUGGACUGACACUGACGCUGAGGUGCGAAAGCGUGGGUAGCAAACAGGAUUAGAUACCCGUGUAGUC
rnacentral:rRNA from 1 species